UGAAAACCAGACCUAAGGCUCUGGCUGGCUGAAAGGCUACUCUGAAGCCUCCUGGAUCUGCUCUUUCUGUCUUAAGAGAAACUUGCUUCAUCUGAGCAGAGUGAGAAAGAGAUGAGGAAACGGAGCCUUAAAGAUUUUCAAUAUUUUAUCCCAGGUCACAUAAUUGUAAGUAAGAGAGGCAACUCAAAUCUAAUUCUGCCUAAGGCCAAAUCUCAGUUAUUUUCCACUUUGCGUGGUGAAUCGAUCCCGACAGGAGAAUGGAGGUGAGGUGAGCGUGGUGCCUGGUAGAGGCAG
rnacentral:lncRNA from 10 species